UGGGUGGUCCGCUCUUGCGGUUAGGGACAGGAUCCUCUGCAAGCUGAACCUGGAGAGCCGCGGGUCUCGUCGUCUGUCGUAAUAGCUAACUUUAUAGAGUACUGAGCAAUGGAAAUGUACUGGCACACAGUGGAGCAGUUCUUUCUCAGGCUGGUAACAUUACAGAACUCCUGUUGAAAAGCAAGCUGGACGGGUGGAAACCGGAUUCCCAUAUCCUCUCAUAAGCUGUUUGUCAAGAUGAAGAAACUGAAGACUAGUGAGCUAAGGAACAUCCCUAGAGCCACAAAGUGGCAGAACAGGAUAAGAACCCAUCACUUUUUACUUCUACUUCAGUGCUUUCUCCUCUUCCAUCUGGGCAGAUGACUGUCAGUCUCUCCAGGUUAGUAGCCCUGGUUGCCACCAAAGCUAUACUCUGUAAGUUAAUAGGGUAGCAUAUUAUCAAGAAGGGGAACCCUCUAUCUAGUCUUUAUUUAUUGUGAAUAUUGUCUGUAAAGUGCUUAACAUAGUGAUUAGUACAUAGAAGGGCCUUAAUGAGAGACAGUUACUCUUACCUAUCGUCUGCUUUCUUUCAGAAGCAUCUCUUGAUGCCCUUUGCUUUCUUUCCCUGCUCUCCAUGCCCCUGGCUGGAUACUGUCAUCUCUCAUGUAUGAUCUGGUACAUUUUCUGUAUCUCUAUUACAGCACAUAAUCACACUGUAUUAUGUUUUUUUCAUGUGCUUUUCUACUACCUCAGUCCUUGGGUGCUUUGGUUUCAGGGAUUAUUUUAAUUUUAUUUCCAAUCUCUCUAGCACAGGGCCUGGCCCAAGGUAGAUGCCGAAUAAAUGCUAAUAGAAUGGAAUUGAAAUUCAGCUGCAUAGUUGCAAGAAACAUUCAAUCACAUUCUGAUUUGACCCCCUAUAGUAAUCAUCCUGAGAAGCAAGUAUUAUUGUUAAUAUCAUUAUAUAUGUAUUAAAAAUAAACAGAAGCUCAGUAUCCUGAAAAUUUCUUUCAGACUGGUGUUACUCAGGUGAUGUUUGCCCCGUUUUCCAUCGAAGAGUUGAUUGUGAUUCUCUGUUUUUCUUUAUAAUUUAUGCAAGGCUUAUUCCGUGACAGCAGAGUCUAACCCUUAUGUAGACCUCUAUCCCCAGCAUGGGGGUUGGCUCUAUCCCCAGCGUGAGGUGGUAGACACUCAGUAAUUAUUGAUCUGAAUGUAACUGUCACUUCUAUAUGUUAGAAAUUGUGUUUGUUACCAGUUUAGGAAAAGAUUUUAAAAGUUGCUCAUGACUAAGUCAACUUUCACUCCACCUGAAUAUUAACCAGAUGUACUCACUGUUUUAUCAGAGAUCAGAUGCUGAGAGAGAGAGAGAGAAAGAGGGAGAGAGACUAACUGGGACUGUCUCGUAGCUUUGAGAAAAGGACAUGGGAAAUUGCUGUGUAACCAGAUCCUGCCUGAGACAGAAUUCUUUCUUUGUGCUAACACCAGAGAAUGCAGGGCUGUCAUGUGAGGAGCAGUUAUAAUCUUUGUGUAUCAGGUAAGGCAGUACAGAGAGGACUCAGGUUCAAGGAAAGGAGGUAUUGGAAGGGGCCAAGUGAUUGAAAUCAACAAAGGGAACAGGCCAAGAAAUAUGAGAAAGGGAGAGGAAGGAAGGCUGAGACGGAGUUCUGCAGAUAGCGCUUACAAGAGAGUAAGGAAUGCAAAGUGAGCUGCAGUGAAGGAGCCACCAGACACCAUCUGUGCUCCCCCGCCUCCUCCUCCUGAGACACUUUCUUCUGAAAAGGAUCGUCAUCAUCAAACCCCAAACACCACUGCAGUAUUUUGUGGUGGUGUUGCUUUUAAAAUGUGGACUAUCAUUUUAUUUUAAGAAUUUGAUUAGUCUAUGAUAACAUUCUGGUCCUUUGUAAAACUAAAAUCUAAGUCAUCCUGUCAAGAGAGAUGAUAAGUUGAGAAGCUAGGGUAUUUUUUCCCCAAUCAUCAUGGUUGCUGAUUUUGGUAGCGAGUUGCCCACAUGCAAGGAACGUUUCCUGGUAUUAGCAGUGGGUUCCAAGUUAUGUUCUCAGCUAAUAUGAUUUUCUGGCCUAGAGUCAUUUGUGUCUGAAUAAAAAUGAUGGCUAUAGUCAUAAUUCCUCAUAUUCUCCUCAGAACAAGUUCCCUUUGUUCAUGAGUCUGUUAUUAUUGAAGAAGUAUUUAGUUGUAGGUAAAUGACCCUUGCCUCCUGCCUUUAAUUGAAACUCAGCCUGCCACAGUUAAUGUGUUUCAUGACUCAAUAAAUCCCGGAAGAAAAACCUAAUGUGCUAUAAAAGCAAAGGAAAAAAAUGAAUUGGUUUCAGCAUACAUUUUCCUUUGUAAACAGUUUCUUGCUGUCAUGUAGAAAGAGCUCUCUUGACAUUCUUUUUUGCAUAAUCUUCCACACUUUGUUACCAGUAUCUGUUCAGUGGUACACAGUUCUGUUUUCAGAAGAAGAACCCUUUGGUCUGUUCGGAAGGGGGAGGGGGUGAGAUCUACAGUCAGGCUUGUCCUAAUCAACUGCUUGAGCCUGCUCUUCUAUGACUCAGGGAGGCCUGGGAGACUUCAGCUUUUCUAGAAACAAGAGGCAGGGGUUGGGGGUGCCCACAGGGUCCUGCUCCCUUUCACCACCACAGUCAGGAUAUGAAACAGUUUCAUCAGACCCCAGUACUCCCUUGUGCUAUCCCUUUGUAGUCACACCCCCUACCCCCCAGCUCCUGGCAACCACUGACAUGUUCUUCCCCCAGAUAGUUUCCUUUUUCACAAAACAGUCAUAUAAAUGGAAUUAUACUGGCUUUGAGACUGGCUUCUUUCACUCAGGUGAUACCUUUGAGAUUCAUCCAUGUUGUAUGUAUCAAGAGUUCGGUCUUUUUCAUUGCUAUGGUAUGAGUGUCCCACAGUUUGUUUAUCCUGUUGAAGGACAUUUGAGUUGUUUCCAGCCUUUGGGGAUUAUGAAUAGAGCUGCGAUAAACAUUCAUGUACAGGUAUUUGUGUGAACAUAAAUGUUGACUUCUCUGAGGUGAAUAUCCAGAAAUGGGAUUGCUGAGCCAUAUGGUAAGUGGAUACAAGCAAACUCUUUUUAUGUGUGUAACACCUAUUAAACAUCCACAGAACCAGUGUUUUACAGAAUGUGCUAUUAAUGUCUGACAGUCCUAGUAUUUCACAGAAUACACUUGGGAAAUAAAGCUUUGGGAAGGCUUCGAAUGUCACGUGACAGUGCUGUAUUUGAGAGUCAAAUUGACCUCC